rnacentral:precursor_RNA from 9 species
UUGAGUGGAUGGCAAAAUGGUGUCUCCAGUAGGUCUUCAUUUGGAGGCUAUCCCCUUCAUCAAAGUGGGAGCUGCCAAGUGAAGGGCUGUCGGUUGGGCCAACAAUCAUAAACCAGGUGA